rnacentral:rRNA from 1 species
UACUGGAGGACAGGUGGCUGCAUGGCUGUCGUCAGCUCGUGUCGUGAGAUGUUGGGUUAAGUCCCGCAACGAGCGCAACCCUUGCCUUUAGUUGCCAGCAGUUCGGCUGGGCACUCUAAAGGGACUGCCGGUGUUAAACCGGAGGAAGGUGGGGAUGACGUCAAGUCCUCAUGGCCUUUAUGACCAGGGCUACACACGUACUACAAUGGCCGAUACAAAGGGCAGCGACACUGCGAGGUGAAGCCAAUCCCGUAAAAUCGGUCUCAGUCCGGAUUGGAGUCUGCAACUCGACUCCAUGAAGUUGGAAUCGCUAGUAAUCGUGGAUCAGCAUGCCACGGUGAAUACGUUCUCGGGGUUU